AGCCCAACUCUAGCCCAACCAUAAUUCCAACAAAACUAAUCAAAACUCUCUCUACUUCCAAAACCAAAGCAUUCUCUUAACUUAGUAUAGGCGAUAGAAAAGACUCCUCUCGGCGCGAUAGAAACCUCUGUACCGCAAGGGAAAGAUGAAAUAACAAUGAAAAACCAAAGCAAUAAACAGCAAAGAUAAACCCUUGUACCUUUUGCAUCAUGAUUUAGCAAGAACAACCAAGCAAAACGAACUAAAGCUUGUCACCCCGAAACCCAAGCGAGCUACUUACAAGCAGCUACCUUUGAGCGAACCCGUCUCUGUUGCAAAAGAGUGGGACGACUUGUUAGUAGUGGUGAAAAGCCAACCGAGCUGGGUGAUAGCUGGUUGCCUGUGAAACGAAUUUAAGUUCUUUCUUGAUUUUUUCUCUACAGACACUAAACCCAAACUACACCGAAGUAAAUCAAGAAUAAUUUAAAGGAGGUACAGCUCCUUUAAAAAAGAAUACAGCCUCCCCUAGCGGAUAACAUCUCCUCACCCCAAAACUGUAGGCCUUUAAGCAGCCACCAGUAAAGAGUGCGUCAAAGCUCACCUUAAAAAAAUCCAAGAAUUACUCCGACUCCCUUACCCUUAACAGGCUAACCUAUAAUAAUAGGAGAAUUAAUGCUAAAAUAAGUAACUAGGGACCAUUCCCUCUCAAGCGCAAGCUUACAUCACUACAUUAUUAACAGACCUCGGCUAAUGCCACAAGCCAACAAGACCAAACAUUAAACCCACCCUGUUAACCCGACUCAGGAGCGCUUUAUUAGAAAGAUUGAAACCUGUAAAAGGAACUAGGCAAACCCAAGGCCCGACUGUUUACCAAAAACAUAGCCUUCAGCCCAACAAGUAUUGAAGGUGAUGCCUGCCCAGUGACAUUACGUUCAACGGCCGCGGUAUCCUAACCGUGCGAAGGUAGCGCAAUCAAUUGUCUCAUAAAUCGAGACUUGUAUGAAUGGCUAAACGAGCGCAAUCACUUGUCUCUUAAUUGGAGACCUGUAUGAAUGGUGGAACGAGGGCUUAACUGUCUCCCCUUUCAAGUCAAUGAAAUUGAUCUGCCCGUGCAGAAGCGGACAUAUAAGUACAAGACGAGAAGACCCUUUGGAGCUUAAGAUACAAGAUCAUCUAUGUCAAGGACUUAGUCAAACUAAAUAGCACCUGAUCCUAAUCUUCAGUUGGGGCGACCACGGGAGAAAAUAAAGCUCCCACGCGGACUGGGGCAAUCCCCCUAAAACCAAGAGAUACACCUCUAAGUCGCAGAAUUUCUGACCAAAAGAUCCGGCUUCCUGCCGACCAACGGACCAAGUUACCCUAGGGAUAACAGCGCAAUCCCCUUUCAGAGUCCAUAUCGACAAGGGGGUUUACGACCUCGAUGUUGGAUCAGGACAUCCUAAUGGUGCAGCCGCUAUUAAGGGUUCGUUUGUUCAACGAUUAAAGUCCUACGUGAUCUGAGUUCAGACCGGAGCAAUCCAGGUCAGUUUCUAUCUGUAAUGCCACUUUCCCCAGUACGAAAGGACCGGAAAAGUGAGGCCAACGCCACAAGCACGCCUUCCCUCCAAAGUAAUGAACCCAACUAAAUUACCAAGAGGACCUUCCCCCAAUCCCAGAUAAGGACC
rnacentral:rRNA from 1 species